ACCUGACUGGCUCAGUCGGAAGAGUAUGUGACUCUUGAUUUCGGGGUCAUGAGUUUGAGUCCCAUUUUGGGUA
rnacentral:tRNA from 1 species